rnacentral:misc_RNA from 1 species
AACGCACAUUGCGCCCGCCAGUACUCUGGCGGGCAUGCCUGUCCGAGCGUCAUUUCAACCCUCAGGACCCGCCCCGCGCGGGACCUGGCGUUGGGGAUCGGCCUCCGCCCCGACGGCGGCCGGCCCCGAAAUGGAGUGGCGGUCACGUCGCGACCUCCUCUGUGCAGUAGUCCAUACCUCGCAGCUGGAUAGCGGCGCGGCCACGCCGUAAAACCCCCCGACCAUCUUCAAGGUUGACCUCGGAUCAGGUAGGAAUACCCGCUGAACUUAA